rnacentral:tRNA from 1 species
GCUUGAGUAGGCAAAUCGGCAAAGCCGCCACGCUCAAACCGUGGUGUCUGUGAGUUCGACUCUCACCUCAAGUA